GUAAUACUCCCUUCGUCCCAAAAUUCUUGUCCUAAAUUUGUCUAAAUAUGGAUGUAUCAAGACAUGUUUUAGUAUUAGAUACAUCCGUAUCUAGUCAAAUUUAAGACAAAAAUUUUGAGACGAAGGGAGUAAUCA
rfam:Triticum aestivum genome assembly, contig: Triticum_aestivum_CS42_TGACv1_scaffold_210646_3AS